AGUUCAGGGACCCUGUGUUAAAGGACAAGUAACAUCAAAAUUUUUUAAAAAAAAUUUAAAUGGCGACGAUCAAUCGUUUGGCACUGGAUUUCUCCUCCCUGGCUCUAUCCCAUAUAUCGUGACAGUGUGUGAAGGAGCUGUGGUCCUUGCAACAGCGAGAGGAGAUCGGCCAGGCAACAACUGACAGAGGGGUCGGAGCACAAGAGCAUGGUGUCCCCCAAGCACCAGCUUACCUGCAGUACUGCAGGUGGAAAGAGCUCUCG